AGCAAAUCAACUUACUUCUACUUUGUUUUACUCUCUUCCCCUGAAGCUCUAUUUAAGGCCUUGAUCUCCUGUGUUUUUCAAUUUCAAUUUAGAAAACUCUACUGUUCCUUUAGAAACUAUUAGACGUAAAACAUUUUUUUCCAAUUCAUUCCAGAUAUUAGAACGGAAUGGGAGGAUAUAAUCUGUACCUUAUUCCAAGUCUUUGAAGAGCGAUUGCCUUGUGCUUUCCAUUUUUAGCUUUAUGAAAAUGCAUACAUAAAAGCUUGUUUGUGCACUUAAAUGUUGUGUGUGGGUGCAUGAAUUUACAGUCAGGUAACAUGGUGACCCUCCGCACAUCCAGGCGAUUGAACGAUCAAAGUUCAUGGUUCAAGUAAUCCUGCUUCGUGGGACCGAGCCAUUAUUAUAAUUGGAGCUUAUCAUGGAAUUUGUAUACAGGUUCUCAGUUCGGCGCCAGAGAAAAUGGUCUAGGAGAUCUCUCAGAUUUGUAACUGAAACAAGAAAGCACCUGCAGCGGGCAGCGUUUUAUCAACUCUACUGCAAGUUAUAGGCGGUCUGAUUGUGUCUUAUUGACUACCUAGGAGUGGUAUUAGCGAGGUUCUGCCUUGAUGGACUAUGAAUUUGUUAUUUAGUUAUUAAUUUGACAGGGUUUGUUUUGUUGGAUCAUCAGAAUCAUUUUUUGCGUUAGAGACUUUGAAUAACCCCCUUGCCUUUGAUUUGGUACUUAAUUCGUAGGAAUUAAAUCUACAAUCUUGCCUUUGAUUU